rfam:Gossypium raimondii chromosome 5, whole genome shotgun sequence.
AUACCAUGGUGGGGACAUUUUUGCAAUGGCUCUUUGAACCAUUCACAUACAUCAUAUAGAAAUUCCUCAUCAAGUUGUUGAAAUAUGAUGAUUUCUUUUUGAAGCUU